UACGUAGGGGGCGAGCGUUGUCCGGAAUGAUUGGGCGUAAAGGGCGCGCAGGCGGCCAUUCAAGUCAGUAGUGGAAGUCCAUUUUUCAAGGGUGGAAGUGCUAUUGAAACUGUAUGGCUUGAGUGCGGGAGAGGUUAUCGGAAUUCCCGGUGUAGCGGUGAAAUGCGUAGAGGUCGGGAGGAACACCAGUGGCGAAGGCGGGUAACUGGACCGCAACUGACGCUGAGGCGCGAAAGUGUGGGGAGCAAACAGGAUUAGAUACCCGCGUAGUCCCUGA
rnacentral:rRNA from 1 species